GCUAGCCUGGGCUACAUGCAAUCCUGUAUCAACUAUUCUUUUUAUUUUAAUUAAAAAGACAAAAUAAAAAUGACCCAGCUGUGGUGGCACAUGCCUUUAAUACCAGCACUUGGGAAAUAAAGGUAAAAGGAUCUCUGUGAAUUUCAGGCUAGCCUGGUCUACAUUAUGAGUUCCAGGACUCCGUCUCAAAAAAAAAAAAAAAAAAGUGCAACUCAUCAAGAAUGACUUUGAAAACAUUCAUUUGUACGUGUGCUGAUGCAAAUCUCAUGUUAACCUAACAUUCGGAUGAGAAUGGGAGAACAUAUGUGUUUAUGGAUUUAGAUCAUGUCUGUGUGUCAUGUGCCUGGGUGAGUGAUGGAAACUCGGGCAGAGGAUGCCUCAUGCUAUAAUGCAACUGAAGUUGCUGGUGGCUGGAAUUUUCCAGUGUUGGUAGAUGAAUUUUUAUGACAAGAACUUGUGGAAAAUUUGGGUAUUUCUGAAAAAUAACUGUUUCUCCCUCAGAGUCGCCCUCUCUUGGAUUCCUGUGAGUCACUGUCCCCUGUGAAGCGGCUUGAGAAGAAUGCCUGGCAUCAUUUGUGUGCUCUAACUCCAACUGGAGAUGUUGACUGUGCUAUCGUCCCAGCCGGCUUUUCCUCUCAGUGUUGUUUUUCCUUGAAGAAGUUUCUUUGUUACUAUUCAGCUUAAGUGAAGUCAUCACUGAAGGAAAGAGCAGAAGGAAUUCGGAAUAGUUUUAAUAAACUUCUGAACCCAGC
rnacentral:lncRNA from 1 species